CCUACGGGAGGCAGUAGUGAGGAAUAUUGGUCAAUGGGCGAGAGCCUGAACCAGCCAAGUCGCGUGAGGGAGUACUGCCCUAUGGGUUGUAAACCUCUUUUGUCGGGGAGCAAAAGCCGGACGUGUCCGGCUGUGAGAGUACCCGAAGAAAAAGCAUCGGCUAACUCCGUUCCAGCAGCCGCGGUAAUACGGAGGAUGCGAGCGUUAUCCGGAUUUAUUGGGUUUAAAGGGUGCGCAGGCGGAUUUUUAAGUCAGCGGUAAAAUCGCGGGGCUCAACCCCAUCCAGCCGUUGAAACUGGGGAUCUAGAGUGUGCGAGAGGUAUGCGGAAUGCGUGGUGUAGCGGUGAAAUGCAUAGAUAUCACGCAGAACCCCGAUUGCGAAGGCAGCAUACCGGUGCACAACUGACGCUCAGGCACGAAAGCGUGGGUAUCGAACAGGAUUAGAUACGCUGGUAGUC
rnacentral:rRNA from 1 species